CACAUUUCCUGGGAGCACGGCCUGUAAUUAAACUAACUCCUCCCUUCAGCUGUAAUAAUUGCACCGCCAGAAGCCCAUAGGAGCGGCUGCUUUCCUCUCGCUCGCCUGUUACACCCGCUUUCGUUUUCCUUUAUUUUUUUUUUUUUCUUAACAGAACAAGAAACUGCCUGAACUGACUGAGCUGUCGACUGCGGACUCAGAGGGCUGGGGGUGGAGGGCACUUUAAUUUCAGCAAGGUCUGCACGCUGCCUUUCCCUGAUAAACUUCUGCCGGCAGCACCCCCAGGCUCUCCCCGGAGCGCAUCUCGGGCUUUGCUGCGGCGAUGCCCAGUAUUUGAUAAUGCAAUGGCUGGAAGACCACUAACUAUCAGAUUAAACAGCUGGACACACUGGAUAUUGGCAGUUAUUCUGCUGCUAUGGAGUCAUCAAAUCAGUGGACAGGGACAAGGUUUGUGCCUUGUAAAAGCAGGACAGGUUCUGGUCUGCAUUUUCUAAAUGGAAAAAUGACCAAGUAUUUCAGGUAAAGCUGAAAAAGGUUAAUUUACUUCUGUUCAUUCUUUGUGAGAAAGGAUUAG
rnacentral:lncRNA from 1 species